rnacentral:rRNA from 1 species
AGGCAGCAGUUGGGAAUCUUCCGCAAUGGGCGAAAGCCUGACGGAGCAACGCCGCGUGAGUGAAGAAGGUCUUCGGAUCGUAAAACUCUGUUAUUAGGGAAGAACAAAUGUGUAAGUAACUAUGCACGUCUUGACGGUACCUAAUCAGAAAGCCACGGCUAACUACGUGCCAGCAGCCGCGGUAAUACGUAGGUGGCAAGCGUUAUCCGGAAUUAUUGGGCGUAAAGCGCGCGUAGGCGGUUUUUUAAGUCUGAUGUGAAAGCCCACGGCUCAACCGUGGAGGGUCAUUGGAAACUGGAAAACUUGAGUGCAGAAGAGGAAAGUGGAAUUCCAUGUGUAGCGGUGAAAUGCGCAGAGAUAUGGAGGAACACCAGUGGCGAAGGCGACUUUCUGGUCUGUAACUGACGCUGAUGUGCGAAAGCGUGGGGAUCAAACAGGAUUAGAUACCCCAGUAGUCC